rnacentral:RNase_MRP_RNA from 1 species
AAGUUCCCUCAAACCUCACCGCGGAGCUACGUACGGGUCUCCAGUGACUCCCAUUCUUGCUCUGAGGAAGGUCCGCGGAUUUCGGGCAGAAAGUGCCGCAGCUCUGCAGCUGUUAGCCUCCACCGUCUUAUCUGAUUUGGAAGGGAGGCCUCGGCUGAUCUCGGAUAAGGGUGCGAGAGUAUUGUUCACAGUACAGUAAUGUGAGGGUAACUCACGCACAUUCGUGCGUGAGUUCAACUGAACGGGGCCUAUUCUGAGGUGACU